UUUUUUUUUAAAUAGAGGUGCGUUUUUUUUUUGGAACUGCCAUUAAAAAGUUAUAAUAGGAUUUUUGGUUGGAUGUGAAAGACAUCUGUUGUUCAAAAUCAAUUGUUCCCUUACUAUUCUCUAUCUAUUUUUUCUCUAAAUUAGACUCCAAAAGAGAAGAGGGAGGAAGGGGCGGGGGUGUUAAAAAUCACAUAAAAUAUUAAUAAGAACAAUAAGGUUCACUAUGCCAAAUAGAUUGAAGUUGAUAAAAUAAAAUAAAAAAUCAGUCAAUUAAAUCUUUUUAAUGAUUUCUUAUGAGUUCUUGGUACUCUAAGAAGUGUGAAAUUGUUGUAUUUAUCCUAUCACGUUACUUGAAGAUAGAGAUUCAAAAUGACUUGUUUAUUUGUGCUUAUUUAUUCAUGUUAUGUUAGUUAUAAUUAAAAAAAAAAAUUAUAAAUAAUGGGGUUUAAAUUGAUUGAAUUCUUGUUAAGACUUCGUCAUACAUUAGCCAUUCUUCAUAUAGAAGAAAAAAGUAUAAAUUAUUAUGUACCGACCGAACCGAUGAUUAUUCACGAUUCCAUAAUUGAAUCAAUUACAUACUGCAAUUCAUGUUAGGAAUCCCUUUGAAUGUGGAGUGGUUGAGGAACACGUCAAAUAACCUUAUUUGAGGGACGGAAAAUGAAAACACACUCAUGUGAGGGCGACGUCAGCCACAAUAUAAAAUUAAUAAAAAAUUUAAAAAAUUAAUAAAUAAUGUAAAAAAUUAAUAAAAAAAUGUAAAACCCAGCAGGCUUCGAACUCAACGACUCUCGUCGGAGUUCGUCGUCGAGGCUGAUGAUACACCCACAGACAAAUGGGAGAGAUCCAGUCCCUCCUCUGUCGCAGCUGCCGCCACACCCCACACCUCCUUCGCUCCCACGCACUCGCGAUCCCCCUUAUUCCACUCGCGCGCCCAGAUCGCACGAUUUGGGAUUUGUUUUUGGGGGGAAAGAGGAGAGAGAAAAAGAGAUAGAGAGUUUGGUUAGGGAGCGAGGAAGAUCGAGACCGUUGAUGGAGGCUGAGCUGGGUAGGAUGGUGAAGAUGGAGGAAGAGAGGCGGCAGUGGGGUGGUGAAGGAAGGUUUGGGUGCGUUGGGGCGGAGGGAGUGGACAUGGGUUGAUGGGAAGUUUCUGCCGGGGGGAGGGAUUUGGGUGUGGGUGGUUUUUUUUGGUAUUUUGUUUUUCUAAUAUUUAAUUAAUUAAUUUUUUAAUAGAAAGUGGUACAACGAGACUGACACACCUCGAUCUGAAAUGUCCAUUAGGAUUCCGAAUCGAGCUGUGCUGGCCGACACCUGGAAGGUGAUGAUGCCAUAAAGUAUAGUGAUGAGAAAAAUAUGAAUAAAUUUACACCUAAAGUACCUAAAGACAGGAGUGCACUAUGAGUGGGAAUGAACCCAUUUCACACGCGACGUCAGAUCAUAAGUAAAGUACGGUAGUGUGGGUAAGAAUCAUACCUUUAGAGGUAGCCACAUAUACUGAGAUUUGCCAAGAAUCCUUGUUGAUACGAACUUUCAGCAGCUAAAACCUAGAGGGGCACAAAAAUAAGGGUGAGUGGGCCUGAAAAUAAAGUUUUUAAUAAACACCCGUAUAAUUUCUCAAAAAAUAAUAAUACAUACGUAUAUAUAAAUCAUGCUCGAGAGUAGUGAAAACCGAGUAUAUACCAUGUCAAGUACCUCAACAAUAAAAUAAGUAAGCCAUGUGAAAUAAAUCAAUGUAAAAUGAUAUGCUAGCCAGAGUCACCUAACGUGAUCUGUACGGCUGAACCUAUAGCUCAUUAACCAAUUCCUGCACAUGAGUCGAAACCACCUAAUGUGGUAUGUACGACAAACUGAGUGUAAAAAAAUACGCGUUACAAUCACGUGAAGGUUGUGCGAAGUAUCGCAAGUCACCUACGAGUCGGAACCACCUAAUGUGGUCUGUAUAACAGGCUGGCACCUGCCUUGGAGUCAAGGUGAGCGUACAGUGUGGGAGGUGAACGAUCACGUGAAGGCUGACCUUGGCCUCGGGCGGAGCAUUAACACCGGGGUGCAGGAUAAUGAGCACUAAAUGCAUCUAAACAUAACCAUACUGAGUGUGAUCACUAUCAUCAAUAUGUACUCACCUGAAGCUUACCUGGGUGUCGGCAGCAUCAUGAAAUAAUAUGCAUAUCUAUACUAAUGCAUAUACUAAAAUGUAAUGCAAUUGACAUAGUAUUUAAAAAUGCAAAUCCAUUUAAAACAAUUUUUGGGAAAAUAGAAAACAUAUAUACAUAUAUAUAGAAAACCAAAAGCCCACUCAUUGGAGUUUGCGCUACAACUCCCUAGCACAAACAUCAAGGCAUGACGAACGAUCAGCGCCUAAAACAAUUAUCAAAUCAUGCCUUAGAAUUCUUAUCAAUAGAACAUAUAACUUACAUAUCCUAUCGGGAAGAUCCGUGGGUCGGAUUCCUGAUCCGUAAGUUUCUAAUAUCCUUAAAUAUUAUGUACUAUAAUAUAUCAAAGUUUAGUGACGAUCCAACGGUUGGAUCAUUGAUUGCUAUAAUAAUCAAGCGAACCUUAAUGGAACUACAUCAAACGAUGGAAAUUCGUCAAUCGGAUUUCACCAAUAGAAUCAGGGUAUUCAAUUUUAGCCUAGGAAGGUUAGGGGACGUCUCGGCCCACGCGCUCCUGCAGGCGUCGCCGCAGGUGGCGGUUGGCAUCCCGGACUCGCCGGAAAAAUCAACUAUUUCUAAAAAUUUACCAAAUGCUACAUAAAAGUAGAUCUCAGUAAGGGGAACAAUUUCAUACCUGUGGCCAAGUCUAAUUUGGGCAGAAAACACCUGAAAUCCACUUCGAUCUGCCGGAAACCCUUGAAAUGGGUGUUCUUGAUUCAACUCCAAACAAGCUCCGACGCCUCCAAUGUUGAUUGAGCUUUGUUUAUGGGUUCAUGGAGAGUCUACUUUGUGGUGUUAAUUGAAUGAAAACGUUUCAGGUUUAGUGGAUCUCGGCCAAGGGUCCUCACGACACCCAUGGUUCCCCUCGGGAUGUUUUCCCCAAAAUACAACCAAAUUCAUUAUAAUUUUAGGUGGAAAAAGGAAGAGGAGGGUAAUGGAAUGUUUUCCAGGUGAUGGAUGGCAGCGAUUCGUCGGAAAAAUCGCCUGAAAAAGUGUCAUAAGGUGUGGAGGAGCCGAGUUGGGUACGG
rnacentral:lncRNA from 1 species